rnacentral:rRNA from 1 species
UACGGGGGGUGCAAGCGUUGUUCGGAAUUACUGGGCGUAAAGCGCGUGUAGGUGGCGCAGCAAGUCUGGAGUGAAAGCCCUCGGCCCAACUGAGGAAGUGCUUUGGAAACUGCUGUGCUUGAGUCCUGGAGGGGCGGAUGGAAUUCCCAGUGUAGAGGUGAAAUUCGUAGAUAUUGGGAGGAACACCGGUGGCGAAGGCGGUCCGCUGGACAGAGACUGACACUGAGACGCGAAAGCGUGGGGAGCAAACAGG